CACCCAUGUCACGUUGAAGCACCAUAACUCGUAUGAUCACCGAAGUUAAACAACGUUGAGCCUGAAGGGUACCUAGAUAGGUGAGCACUUGGGAAUACUAGGUGA